rnacentral:rRNA from 1 species
UGGGGAAUUUUGGACAAUGGGCGAAAGCCUGAUCCAGCAAUGCCGCGUGUGUGAAGAAGGCCUUCGGGUUGUAAAGCACUUUUGUCCGGAAAGAAAUCCUUGGCUCUAAUACAGUCGGGGGAUGACGGUACCGGAAGAAUAAGCACCGGCUAACUACGUGCCAGCAGCCGCGGUAAUACGUAGGGUGCAAGCGUUAAUCGGAAUUACUGGGCGUAAAGCGUGCGCAGGCGGUUUGCUAAGACCGAUGUGAAAUCCCCGGGCUCAACCCGGGAACUGCAUUGGUGACUGGCAGGCUAGAGUAUGGCAGAGGGGGGUAGAAUUCCACGUGUAGCAGUGAAAUGCGUAGAGAUGUGGAGGAAUACCGAUGGCGAAGGCAGCCCCCUGGGCCAAUACUGACGCUCAUGCACGAAAGCGUGGGGAGCAAACAGGAUUAGAUACCCUGGUAGUCCACGCCCUAAACGAUGUCAACUAGUUGUUGGGGAUUCAUUUCCUUAGUAACGUAGCUAACGCGUGAAGUUGACCGCCUGGGGAGUACGGUCGCAAGAUUAAAACUCAAAUGAAUUGACGGGGUCAUAGCUGUUUCCU